rnacentral:rRNA from 1 species
UACGUAGGGUGCAAGCGUUGUCCGGAAUUAUUGGGCGUAAAGAGCUCGUAGGCGGUCUGUCGCGUCGGCUGUGAAAACUCGGGGCUCAACCCCGAGCCUGCAGUCGAUACGGGCAGACUAGAGUUCGGUAGGGGAGACUGGAAUUCCUGGUGUAGCGGUGAAAUGCGUAGAUAUCGGGAGGAACACCAGUGGCGAAGGCGACUUCCUGGCCUGUUCUUGACGCUGAGGCGCGAAAGCGUGGGGAGCGAACAGG